CAAUUUUCAUAUCUAAAUACCAUAGCAGGUAAGAUAUACACACACACACAUAUAUAUAUAUAUAUACGGCGAUCCUUCGGUAUAGGUACACACGUGACUUUGUUUACAUUUCUGAAGAUAAGAGAAACCCUUUUCUCCCACCCCUAACUCUAACCCCCCAUAUAUAAAAAAAACACUUUCUUGAAAUGUAUCCGGUACCUAUACCGAAGGCGGCGAGCUGGCAGAAACGUUAGCGCACCGGGCGAAAAGCUUUGUGGUAUUUCGUCUGUCGUUACGUUCUGAGUUCAAAUUCCGCCAAGGUCGACUUUGCCUUUCAUCCUUUCGGGGUCGAUUAAAUAAGUACCAGACAAUCACUGGGGUCGAUAUAAUCGACUUAAUCCGUCUGUCCCCUCUGUGUUUAGCCCCUUGUGAGUAGUAAAGAAAUAGUAAGUACCGGUUUAUAAACAUGUAGGCUUCACACAUGAUUCUAUGAUGUAAAUUUUAAUAUAUUUAAAAGUUCAGUUAUUCAGGUUUAUUUCUAUGGAAAUGGAAAUUUUCCACAACUGAAUCCAGAUUUUUUUAAGCAGCCUCUCUAUCUUACACUGUUGUUUCUUUAUUAUUUCAGAAUAUCGGAUGAUAUUGGCUUAACAGAAGAUAUAUCCUCAAUAUUUAUCAUCUUUUAAAGACGAAAUGAAAAUGUUUUCCAGAACAGAUAUAUAAGAUUGUUUCCAUAAAUCUUAUAUAUCUGCCAGAUAAGACCGGAGCCUGGUGCAGCCUUCUGGCUUCCCAGAUCCCCGGUCGAACCAUCCAACCCAUGCUAGCAUGGAGAACGGACGUUAAACGAUGAUGAUGAUGAUGAAAUCUAUGGUGAAUUCCUCUGAAAUAUUUUCUCUGACCUCAGAUUAUUAGCAGAAUUUCUAUACAUUGCAAUCUGGAGUGUCAACACAAGUGAUUUUGUUUGCUAGUUUAAACUAAGACAAAUUCACAGAAAGUAACACCGAACAGAAAUAAAGCUGUGGAAAUAUUUCUUAGGAAUAAACUAUAAAAACAAAAGAACAAGAAAAUAUAUAUAUUGUGACGACAGAAGUAAAAUAAUUUCGAUUUCAUCUCAAUCGAAGGAGAGGAGCUUUCUCCGUCCGGGUUGCGGAUCCGUGGAACAAGCUGCCAGAC
rnacentral:lncRNA from 1 species